rnacentral:rRNA from 1 species
UACGGAGGGUGCGAGCGUUAAUCGGAAUGACUGGGCGUAAAGCGUGCGUAGGCGGUAGAGUCAGUCAGUCGUGAAAGGCCUGGGCUUAACCUGGGAACGGCGGUUGAGACGGCGCUACUGGAGUGGGCCAGAGGAUCGUGGAAUUCCGGGUGUAGCGGUGAAAUGCGUAGAGAUCCGGAGGAACACCGAUGGCGAAGGCAGCGGUCUGGAGCCACACUGACGCUGAGGCACGAAAGCGUGGGGAGCAAACAGG